GCCAGAAUGAGACCAGAUAAGACUAUAUCAGAAUCUAACUGCUGGCGUAACAAGCAUGGUACACUUAAAUGUGUACAGGUAUUGAAGAGGUGUGAACACCGUCUGUGAUCUGAAGAGAAUGUCAGUGGAAAAUGAGAAAUUCUGGACCUUGGCACUUUGCAAGACUGCAAAUAAGAAUCUUUUCUGCAUAAUGACUCAUAUUUGGACUUGCUUCAGAUCAAUAAACCCUGUAUGGAAUUAACCCCCAACUCAGCCCCAAGACACGCUCAUCCUAUUACUCAUCCUCAUUUUGGAGCACCCAUGAGCAGUGUGGGC
ensembl:lncRNA